UCUAUUUGUAACACAGUUUUUCUCCAGGAGAGGUGAGUCAGUCAGCAGCAGCUCUAAUCCCCGAUACCAACAUAAACCCUUUACCCCGUGCCAGUGAUGAAGGUUUGGAGCAUUGAUGCAUCCAAGACUUGUAGGAUACACGUUCUUCAAGACUGGGCUUGGGCAACGCUUCCUUCGG